AUUGAACGCUAGCGGGAUGCUUUACACAUGCAAGUCGAACGGCAGCGCGGACUUCGGUCUGGCGGCGAGUGGCGAACGGGUGAGUAAUGUAUCGGAACGUGCCCAGUAGCGGGGGAUAACUACGCGAAAGCGUAGCUAAUACCGCAUACGCCCUACGGGGGAAAGCAGGGGAUCGUAAGACCUUGCACUAUUGGAGCGGACGAUAUCGGAUUAGCUAGUUGGUGAGGUAACGGCUCACCAAGGCGACGAUCCGUAGCUGGUUUGAGAGGACGACCAGCCACACUGGGACUGAGACACGGCCCAGACUCCUACGGGAGGCAGCAGUGGGGAAUUUUGGACAAUGGGGGCAACCCUGAUCCAGCCAUCCCGCGUGUGCGAUGAAGGCCUUCGGGUGGUAAAGCACUUUUGGCAGGAAAGAAACGUCGCGGGCUAAUACCCCGUGGAACUGACGGUACCUGCAGAAUAAGCACCGGCUAACUACGU
rnacentral:rRNA from 1 species